UACAGAGGUCCCAAGCGUUGUUCGGAUUCACUGGGCGUAAAGGGCGCGUAGGCGGCCUGUUAAGUCGAACGUGAAAUCCCUGGGCUCAACCCAGGAACUGCGUCCGAUACUGGCAGGCUUGAAUCCGGGAGAGGGAUGUGGAAUUCCAGGUGUAGCGGUGAAAUGCGUAGAUAUCUGGAGGAACACCGGUGGCGAAGGCGGCAUCCUGGACCGGUAUUGACGCUGAGGCGCGAAAGCCAGGGGAGCAAACGGG
rnacentral:rRNA from 1 species